CAUCUGGAUGGUGAGAAGUGCAAACCUAAGGCAAUGCACCCAAAAAAAACCAAAGGUGCCUACUUGGAAGACUGCAGAAUGUACCUCCUGGAGAUCAUGCAGAAGGAGCAAGAAAUAAUGGGAAAGAAGACAAAGAAGAAAGACUGCCAUCUGCAAGGUUCUGCUUUUACUUGAGAAUCUAAACUUAGGUGCUGUUGAAAAACUAACAUGUUGGUCCUCAGAAUGAAGAAGGAAAGCUGACUACGAAGCCCUUAUGAGUAUAUUAUUCUGCAAAAUGCUGCAGUACAUUAAUAUAGACAGAAGCUUACGAAAGAACUAAUAAAUGCACUCAGAACUGAAUUCCCAUUGCAUUCCCAGACUCUUCAACUGCUUUUCUGUGCAAGAAAAUGAUG
ensembl:lncRNA